UUUGUGGUUUUGCAAUGCUUUAGUGUUGCUUGCUAGCUGAAAGCAAACACAGUGAAAACAAAGACGAUCCAAAGGUGCUGGAUUACAGAUAAGUGAAGCAAUGCAUUUCAGAUCAUUGAUACUUGUGUGUUAUUUUGGGCUUGGAUUAACAGAAGUGCAAAUAAAGCAGCACUCUUUAAAAAAUAUAUAUCAAGUGGGGGAUUCAGCAGUUCUCCACUGCAACCUUACCAGUGACAAAGAAAUGGUUAGAGGCUGUACUAUGAUGUGGAAAAUUUGGGAUGCAAAUGCAAAAAGCCACGUACGCAUUUCAAAAGUGCAAAAAUAUAAACACAGAGUUAACUUUUCAUUUCAAGGCACUUUUACCUCCAUGACCGUAACCGACCUAAUGGUUACAGACACUGAAAAUAUAUUGUGCACAGCGACGUGUUUCGUUAAUGAGGACAUCCGAUACAUCGCCAGUAACGGGACAAUUCUAAUAAUUACAGAACAAGAAUUAAACACCACAGAACAAGAAUCCGCGCUUGCAGCUCCAUGGUUGAAAUAUCUUUUUUUCUUCAUUAAUCUUCUGAUUUUCACCAUUGCACUGGGAAUCUUAAUUUUUGUCAUGCGAAAAAGGAACAGAGCGAAAUGAAUCUACAAUGAAUGUGCAUGCAUGUUCAACAAUCAUUUUAACAAUAACAGCAAUACACAAUAGGCUUUAAUAUGCUUUGAUUACUAUACUUUAUGCAGCCCUCUUGUUCUGUAGCAUUGUUUGGGGUGAAAAAAAAUCUUUGUUACACACACACACACACACACACACACACACACACACACACACACACAUAUAUAAAAUUCCUCUGACCUAAGCAUAUAUUAAAGCUUGCACUUCACAAAACAGUUGUGUGUAUAUAGGAUCAGAGAGAACAGAAUAAUGAAGAAACAAGCAUUGCGAGACCCAUUACAACUUUCUCCAUAAAAUAAAGUUAAAAUCUCUGACUGUGUUAUAUGUUCCAAAGACAAAUUACAUGUCAGCACUACGCUAAUAGUUUUAUACGCAAUUAAUCGGCAUAAAUUCCUCGUGAGGGAGGAUAACGCUGCUUACAAAGCAACCGAUAUAGAAUUAUUCGAUUGCAUCUCUCGCUUCAUGGUUAUGCAAGGCUUAAAAAGUAAAAAGAAAUGAAGAGGAAGUACAGAAUGUUUGCUGAAAAUCACGGCAGAAAAAACUACUAAACUACUAAACUACUGAAAAUAAUAAAAAUCACAAUGUUUCCACUACAAACGUACAAUGGAAAAUGUAUUAAAAAAACAAUUAUGACUAAAAAGCUACUUACAGUCAUGGUGCCCUUGAGAAUCGAAAGUAAAGAAAAACGAAAGCAACCAUUUUCUUUUCUUUUUUUUUCGGUGGGAGGGAACGUUCUUUCAUUAUAUGUGCAUCUAUCUAUAUUUUGGGUUUCUGGGCAGCUAAGCCGUGUUCGCGAUGAGCAGUCAACAAACUGUCUAUUUCAUUAAUUUAACAUUUUAAUAUUUGGGGCAUCCAAGUUUGCCAUUUGAAGUAGUAGUAGUAGUAGUAAUAAUAGUAGUAGUAGUAGUGCAAAAGUUACUUUCACUGGUAAUUAGUUACUUCAAAAUUAUGUAACUCGCUUACUAUUUGUAAGAAGUAACUAGUAACUAGUAACUAUAACUAAUUGCUUUUUGUAGUGACGUGCACAGCACUGGAGGCCACGCCCUUCCCUUCCCCGAGAUAUGUUGAUGCGCGCGCCUUUGAAAAAACAGUUUCCCCAGGUGAGAAGGUAUUGCAGUAUCUAUUAAUAGUUUUCUGUACUUUCGAUUUCUCCCAGCAUGGGGGCAGGAGACUUGUCAGCAAAUAAAUAGGAAAAAAAGUAACUGAUAUAUUCUUGUACAUUAAAAAGUAAUGCAUUACUUAAUGCUUGAAAAAAGUAAUAUUAUUACGAAACCCCCCAACACUGGUAACAUUGCAAUCUCAUUUUUAAAUUUUAAAAUAAAAAGAAUUUCUUUUCAAUAAAAAUGAAUGAAAUAAUCAAAGUUGAAGAUAAAGUAUUGGAUAGAGUUAGGGUAGGUGGGUGUAGGGUGGGCUUUAUUGUCCCAAUAAGGUUGUCAACCAUGGCAUCUAUUUAAUAAUUUAAAUCGGAACAUCCUCUUGUUUUCUCUCUCGCUUACUGUUGCUGUCAGGAACUAUUUUUUAAGGACCCUUUUUUAGGACUGCAUUUAAUAAACUUUAAGUUUUAAUAUCUUGUAUUGUUUGGUAACUGUUUUAUAAACCCAAUAAGCUACGAGAGGCCAUGCUUAAUCAUUAAUAUGGCUUUCAGCCAUGAUUUUAUUUACAAUACAGCACAGCCUUUUUUUUGUACCUUAUUGCUUAUAUAGAUACCCUAUUAGAGUGCUCCAUGCAUAUAGUUUCGGCCGCCAUGUUGGAACGGUGAACUUCAACUUGAGGUCAAAAAAUAUUUUGUUGAAUAAUUGUGACAUUUUAAUUGUGACCUACAAAGCAUUCAAAAGUAAAUGCUUUGUAGACUGAUUAGAGUUAACAACUUUUUUUUUUAUCCAAACCUGCUUUUAAAAAAAAGCUACAGUAUAAUCAGUUUCUGACGAUGUGCACAGUCAUCAGAUUGUCUUUUUCUUUUCUUUUCUUUCUCAGCUCUCAACAGUGAGCUUUGCAUACUGUGGUUAAGAGACACACAAAAGCUAAAUGACUUGCAGGGGUUGUUGUCAGCAGUUUGUUAGUACAACUGCAGUUUGCAAAACCCAUAUGUUUGUUUCUUCAUGGGUCGCGGAAGCGAGAGGAGGGAGGGACGAGGUGGAUGGUUGGUGCUGGUUAAUAGCAGAAUCACAGUCAUUUAGGAAUUAGAUUAGUGGUGUGCGAAUUAAGAUCACGAUCUUACAGUGAUAAAACGUGCAAAUAUAUGAGCAUUAAUGCCUGUUUUAGCCCACUUCAUAUUUUUUUUUGUGGUUGGGUGUUUUAAUCACAGUAUACAUACUGUGAGGUUAUCACUUAUAUAUCUUUGUUUUUGAUACAAAACGGCCACGGUAUAGCAAUAACAAUUUACUAAUGCACUUAUAAUAAUAAUAAUAAUAAUAAUAAUAAUCUGUUUGUCUGAGAGAGAAAGAGUGUUAAUUUUUUAGUUCAUUUUUUAGCUGAGACAAGCCUGUGCUUCCUGUCAUGAUUAAGACUAUUGUGUCACCCACCCCAGAUAUAAAAAUAUCACUCUGCAAA